rnacentral:lncRNA from 1 species
UCCAUCGAGUGGCAUUCGGGUUCCAGUGUGGGUUUGUUGGUUCGGAUGCUGAUGUAAGUCCAGUGAUUGGCGUUCAGGCUCCACGUUUGCCUCUUUGUGUGUGUUUUGGUUCGGAUGCUGAUGUAAGUCCAGUGAUUGGCGUUCAGGCUCCACGUUCGCCUCUUUGUGUGUGUUUUGGUUCGGAUGCUGAUGUAAGUCCAGUGAUUGGCAUUC